GCAUACCUAUACACAGAAGCUCCACCAGAUAUACACCGUGAUUGCUGUGACGAUGGAGGGAAGAAUGGCUACUGUAGUUGUGGUGCUUAUCCUGGGAUGUUUCGUGGUUCUCUCACAAUCUCAACUCACAAAUCAAGACGAAUCUCCGUGCUAUUGCAUGCGCUACGCCCGCUAUUUUACCAAUAAGUACUUCUGCUGUGUAGGCCUUAAAGCCCCGACCCCAAGCCAAUGCUAUAGCUCAGACUAUCAAUGUAACAGAAAUUGCUGCACGGCAACAGCACCGGCACCGGCAACCGGCACCAAUACCGGCACCAACACCAGCAAUAACUCAUAAGUCCUUUUAGCUAAUGGAAAGUAUGAUCGACUGCAUCCUCCAAAAAAACAAAAAAAGGAGGAAGCAGACGAAAAGUUGUUACAUUUCAACAUCGGAGAGGGCAAUCAAUAAUUAAUUAGCAUUAUGGAUGAAUGUAACCAGUAAAUGUCCAUUUGUCUAGUGAUAAUAAAUAUGAGAUUGCCUACAUGUUCUUAUC